GUAGGUGAACCUGCGGAAGGAUCAUUACCGAGUGCGGGUCCCGAACUUACUUCGGGGCCCUACCUCCGACCCGUGACUACCGAACCUCUGUUGCUUCGGCGUGUUGGCCUCGUCCCACGAGGCGGCGCCGGAGACCUUCUCCUGAACGCUUGUUUAUUUUGAAGGGAAUUGCAGUCUGAGUCGAAACGAUACAAAUCGGUUAAAACUUUCAACAACGGAUCUCUUGGUUCCG
rnacentral:misc_RNA from 1 species